rnacentral:piRNA from 1 species
UGAUAGACUUCUACAGAUGCAAUUCAAGGGUA